ACGAUGAGUGCUAAGUGUUAGGGGUUUCCCCCUUAGUGCUGCAGCUAACGCAUUAAGCACUCCGCCUGGGGAGUACGACCGCAAGGUUGAAACUCAAAGGAAUUGACGGGGGCCCGCACAGCGGUGGAGCAUGUGGUUUAAUUCGAAGCAACGCGAAGAACCUUACCAGGUCUUGACAUCCUUUGACCACUCUAGAGAUAGAGCUUUCCCUUCGGGGACAAAGUGACAGGUGGUGCAUGGUGUCGUCAGCUCGUGUCGUGAGAUGUUGGGUUAAGUCCCGCAACGAGCGCAACCCUUAUUGUUAGUUGCCAUCAUUAAGUUGGGCACUCUAGCGAGACUGCCGGUGACAAACCGGAGGAAGGUGGGGAUGACGUCAAAUCAUCAUGCCCCUUAUGACCUGGGCUACACACGUGCUACAAUGGACAGUACAAUGAGCAGCGACACGGCGACGUGAAGCGAAUCUCAUAAAGCUGUUCUCAGUUCGGAUUGUAGGCUGCAACUCGCCUACAUGAAGCCGGAAUCGCUGGUAAUCGCGGAUCAGCACGCCGCGGUGAAUACGUUCCCGGGCCUUGUACACACCGCCCGUCACACCACGAAAGUUUGUAACACCCGAAGUCGGUGAGGUAACCGCAAGGAGCCAACCGCCUAAGGUGGGAUAGAUGAUUGGGGUGAAGUCGUAACAAGGUAACCAAGGGCGAAUUCUG
rnacentral:rRNA from 1 species